GGCCGGGUCCCAUACAAUAGCGAACCCAGUGAAUCCCGCCAGGUCCGGAAGGAAGCAACGGUAGCUAGGAUCCUAUGUGAUAUGGGGUGCCUGGCCGCU
rnacentral:SRP_RNA from 1 species